rnacentral:rRNA from 1 species
UACGAAGGGAGCUAGCGUUGUUCGGAAUCACUGGGCGUAAAGCGCACGUAGGCGGAUGUGUCAGUCAGGGGUGAAAUCCCGGAGCUCAACUGCGGAACUGCCUUUGAUACAGCACAUCUGGAGUCCGGAAGAGGUGGGUGGAAUUCCUAGUGUAGAGGUGAAAUUCGUAGAUAUUAGGAAGAACACCAGUGGCGAAGGCGGCUCACUGGUCCGGUACUGACGCUGAGGUGCGAAAGCGUGGGGAGCAAACAGG